CCUACGGGCGGCAGCAGUGAGGAAUAUUGGUCAAUGGACGAGAGUCUGAACCAGCCAAGUAGCGUGAAGGAUGACUGCCCUAUGGGUUGUAAACUUCUUUUAUAUGGGAAUAAAAUGUUCCACGUGUGGGAUUUUGUAUGUACCAUAUGAAUAAGGAUCGGUUAACUCCGUGCCAGCAGCCGCGGUAAUACGGAGGAUCCGAGCGUUAUCCGGAUUUAUUGGGUUUAAAGGGAGCGUAGGUGGAUUGUUAAGUCAGUUGUGAAAGUUUGCGGCUCAACCGUAAAAUUGCAGUUGAAACUGGCAGUCUUGAGUACAGUAGAGGUGGGCGGAAUUCGUGGUGUAGCGGUGAAAUGCUUAGAUAUCACGAAGAACUCCGAUUGCGAAGGCAGUUCACUGGACUGCAACUGACACUGAGGCUCGAAAGUGUGGGUAUCAAACAGGAUUAGAUACCCCUGUAGUC
rnacentral:rRNA from 1 species